GCCAGGUGUGGUGGUGCACACCUGUAGUUCCAGCUACUCAGGAGGCUGAGGCAGUAGGAUCACUUGAGCCCAGGAGUUAGAGGCUGCAGUGAGCUGAUUUUGCAACUGCACUCUCACUUGGGUGACAGAGUGAAAUUCUGUCUCUU
ensembl:misc_RNA Metazoa_SRP Metazoan signal recognition particle RNA